rnacentral:rRNA from 1 species
UGAGGGAUAUUGGGGCAAUGGGGAAAGCCCAUGACCCACGCGACGCCGCGUGAGGGAAGACGGUCUUCGGAUUGUAAACCUCUGUCUUUGGGGACGAAGAAGGACGGUACCCAAGGAGGAAGCUCCGGCUAACUACGUGCCAGCAGCCGCGGUAAUACGUAGGGAGCGAGCGUUGUCCGGAAUUACUGGGUGUAAAGGGAGCGUAGGCGGGAUUGCAAGUUGGAUGUAAACUGCGGGCUCAACCCGGAGAGUGCAUUCAAAACUGCGAUUCUUGAGUGAAGUAGAGGCAAGCGGAAUUCCUAGUGUAGCGGUGAAAUGCGUAGAUAUUAGGAGGAACACCAGUGGCGAAGGCGGCUUGCUGGGCUUUUACUGACGCUGAGGCUCGAAAGUGUGGGGAGCAAACAGGAAGAUACC